rnacentral:lncRNA from 1 species
CUUGAUUUGAGGGGGAUUGUUAUGGGAUGACGCUGUGUUUCAGAGGAAUUCAUAAGCAGAAUUGAAUUUGUUUUAGUUAACUCCUUAUUUGAUUGGAAUAUUGUCGACUUAACAAAAUAGUAGAAAGAGCAUUGGGCUGAAGUGAGAAGAUUUGAAUUCUAGUCCAAAAUCUGUUACUAACCAGCUCUUUGACCCUGAGAAGUCAUUUGACUUGAAUUAUAGUCUUUUUCUUAUAUGGGAAAGGUGGAGUAUACUCAGAGUCUCUCCUAAGUGCUAAGAUUCUGUGAUUCUAUGAAAUCAGACCAUCAGAGAGGAAUACUGCAGUGUUCUCCUGCAUGGGUUGUAAAUGAGAAAAAAGAAAGAAGGAGAGCAAAAUGACUUAAAGACAUUUUCAAGAAAAAAAGAGGAGAGAAGUCACUGAAAUGGAAAAAUAAACAUAUUAUAUAACUAUUUAUUGCACUAUGCAAUAAAAACAUCUUCAGCAACAGCCACACAAGUGAGGGUAGAGGGUCUGCUUUGAAGAGAGAAAAAAGGCUGCUGCAGAAAAAACAAACCUCAAUUCAUAAUUGGAGCUUUUGUUCUUUCUGGAUUGUUUUGUGAAGAACAUGCUGCCAAAAAACAUUUUUCUUCUGUAACCGCUUCUUUUGAAACUCCAUUCUUUUUUAUUUCAAGGAUGUUUAUUAUCUACUCAUUUCUUUUUAUUUAUUUUUGAAUCAUAUACCCCAAUGUCUAGAUGACUGGGACCACUAGGUUUCAUAUUUCCCAGAUGAGAUUAGUUGUACCGUUCAUUUUGCAGGUUUAUUCAGAGCAUUUCAAUGGCAUUUCACCUACAGUUCACCUAUAUUGAGUCCUAAGAAAUUGAAGGUGUUUCUUGAUAGUUCUCCUGCUCCAUCUUCUUCCAGGGGAUUGAUUUGGCUUCUUAUGUUUUUGUAUUUGGUUGCUCAUUAGAGAUAAGCCUGAUUAUUUGGCAUUGUGUAU